rnacentral:rRNA from 1 species
ACAUGCAAGUCGAGCGGGCAUAGCAAUAUGUCAGCGGCAGACGGGUGAGUAACGCGUGGGAACGUACCUUUUGGUUCGGAACACCUGAGGGAAACUUCAGCUAAUACCGGAUAAGCCCUUACGGGGAAAGAUUUAUCGCCGAAAGAUCGGCCCGCGUCUGAUUAGCUAGUUGGUGAGGUAAUGGCUCACCAAGGCGACGAUCAGUAGCUGGUCUGAGAGGAUGAUCAGCCACAUUGGGACUGAGACACGGCCCAAACUCCUACGGGAGGCAGCAGUGGGGAAUAUUGGACAAUGGGCGCAAGCCUGAUCCAGCCAUGCCGCGUGAGUGAUGAAGGCCCUAGGGUUGUAAAGCUCUUUUGUGCGGGAAGAUAAUGACGGUACCGCAAGAAUAAGCCCCGGCUAACUUCGUGCCAGCAGCCGCGGUAAUACGAAGGGGGCUAGCGUUGCUCGGAAUCACUGGGCGUAAAGGGUGCGUAGGCGGGUCUUUAAGUCAGGGGUGAAAUCCUGGAGCUCAACUCCAGAACUGCCUUUGAUACUGAAGAUCUUGAGUUCGGGAGAGGUGAGUGGAACUGCCAGUGUAGAGGUGAAAUUCGUAGAUAUUCGCAAGAACACCACUGGCGAAGGCGGCUCACUGGCCCGAUACUGACGCUGAGGCACGAAAGCGUGGGGAGCAAGCAGGAUUAGAUACCCUGGUAGUCCACGCCGGAAACGAUGAAUGCCAGCCGUCAGUGGGUUUACUCCCUAGUGGCGCAGCUAACGCUCUAAGCAUUCCCCCUGGGGAGUACGGUCGCUAGAAUUAAACUCAAAGGAAUUGACGGGGGCCCGCACAAGCCGUGGAGCAUGUGGUUUAAUUCUACGCAACGCGCAGAACCUUACCAGCCCUUGACAUUCCGGUCGCGG